CCUGGAGACUCCUACGGGAGGCAGCAGUGGGGAAUAUUGCACAAUGGGGGAAACCCUGAUGCAGCAACGCCGCGUGAACGAUGAAGGCCUUUGGGUCGUAAAGUUCUGUUCUAGGUGAUGAAAACUGACAGUAACCUAGGAGAAAGCCCCGGCUAACUCCGUGCCAGCAGCCGCGGUAAUACGGAGGGGGCAAGCGUUAUCCGGAAUUAUUGGGCGUAAAGGGUACGUAGGUGGCCUUUUAAGCGUAGGGUAUAAGGCAAUGGCUCAACCAUUGUUCGCCCUAUGAACUGGAAGGCUUGAGUGCAGGAGAGGAAAGCGGAAUUCCUAGUGUAGCGGUGGAAUGCAUAGAUAUUAGGAGGAACAUCAGCGGCGAAGGCGGCUUUCUGGACUGCAACUGACACUGAGGUACGAAAGCGUGGGGAGCAAACAGGAUUAGAUACCCUUGUAGUCCGA
rnacentral:rRNA from 1 species